GUUCUUGUUUCGGCAGCACACAUACUAAAAUUGGAACAAUACAGGGAAGAUGAGUAGGGCCCCUGUGCAAGAAUGACAUGCAAAUUCGUGAAGCGUUCCGUAUUUUU
rnacentral:snRNA from 1 species